rnacentral:misc_RNA from 1 species
AAUCUGACAUAUCAUUUGAGUCCAACAGCUGAUGGAAAAUGGCCUGUCGCCGGUGGCUGGGGUCGGCGUUAAUACCCGCCGAUCGGUGGGUCAACAGUCCACCAGUUAUAGGAUUGUUUCAGUUAGGCAAAUGUGUGACCCAGAGGCGACUGAUACACAAACAGGGUUCUAGAAGAAGCGCCAAGUUUGGUUUCCUGUUUGACAUUGAUGGGGUGAUAGUUCGAGGAAAGAAGUUGUUGCCGUCAGCCAAGGAGACAUUUUCAAUAUUAACAGACAACAAUGGAGAGUUUCGAGUACCAUGUCUCUUUGUCACAAAUGCAGGCAAUACUCUACGACAAAACAAAGCAAAACAGCUUUCUGACUGGUUGAAUGUCAAGGUGCAUGAAGAUCAAGUCGUCAUGUCUCACAGCCCCCUGAAGAUGUUCCGCCAGUUCCAUGACAAGCAUGUCCUGGUGUCCGGCCAGGGCCCUGUUCAGGAGAUCGCUCGAGGUCUAGGUUUUACCCGCAUCACCACCGUGGAAACAUUACGCCACACCUUCACCAACCUCGACAUGGUCGACCACAAGCGAAGAAAAGCUGCUCCCUGUGCUUUCGAGCAGUAUUUUCCGAAGAUUGAUGCUGUGAUAUUGUUUGGAGAACCGGUGAGGUGGGAAACGAACCUGCAAAUCAUCAUUGACGUGUUAUUGACCAAUGGUAAGCCAGGACACACCCAGAAGGAAACUCUGUACCCCCACCUACCCGUCCUGGCCUGCAACAUGGACCUACUGUGGAUGGCCGAGGCGCCUAACCCCAGAUUUGGACAUGGAUGUUUCCUGCACUGCCUAGAAAGUUUAUACCAGAAAAUCACCGGGCGUGAGUUGAAAUACACAGCUUUAGUUGGCAAGCCGAGCGAGAUCACAUAUCACCAUGCCGACUACCUCCUCAGUCAACAGUCUCGCCUGCUGGGGCUAGAGGGAAUCAGCACCAUAUACUGUAUAGGUGACAACCCAGAGACUGAUAUAUACGGAGCCAAUCUCUACAACCGCUACCUCAGAAAGAGACUCAAGUCCAAAGAGAAGCGCCUGUCCGCCCAGGCCGUGGUCAAGCAAGCCGUUGCCCACGCCAGCGGUCAACAGGUGUCCGACAUGGAAGAAGAUGACGAUGACUCUUCCGAAGAGAUGGAGAUGCUGGAAUCACAGUCGGAGGGAGAAGAGUUUGUUGAUAACUUUGCCAAGUCGUGUGAAAGCAUUCUUGUAUGUACAGGUGUAUAUUGCACCGAGAGAGACUUUGCCACGUAUGGCGGCAAGAGGCCAUCUAAUCACAAUCACAGGGACUUUGUCAUAGAUCCGGAACUGAAACGGCCAUGCAAUGUCACUCAGAAUGUACUAGAGGCAGUUCAAAUGGUGUUCGAGAAAGAGGAAUUCAAUUGAUGAUGGCUCGAACAGUUAGGCAAGUUAGUGUGAUGGUUGUUCAAGUAUAGACCCAACACUGGUAGUUCCUGUGUGAGAUUCUGUCACAUGGCUGGUGAUUUAAAGGGAAACUUGUCUUUGUAAAAGCUUGAAUGUUUACUUUCUAUUAUUAUUAUUAUUAUUAUUAUUAUUAUUAUUCCUUUUGAAUCACCAGCCAGAAUUUACCAGUGAAACAUUGAUAGUCUGGAUGAUGCUGUUCCCACUGAAAGGGUCUGCAUCAGUCAGUAUGGGGAUCGAUGAUUCCUGACUGUGGGAUGAUGUCCUUUGUAUAUAUGUAGAUGUUCCCAACGGCACCGGAAACUAUCUGUAAAACAGUGUCCAGAUUAACAGGGUCUGAACUAAAGAGGUUUCACUGUAUACAGUGGGAUAUUUGGUGAAGUAGUCUCUCAUUAUCUCAAGAUUAACUUCUGUAUGUUAUCUCGAGGUAACUGUGCCUCUAAAAUCCUAUUUUUUUAUAUUUAAUUUUUAAGUUGUUUACAAUAGCUGCUGUUGGGCCUAUAUCUUACGUUAUGAAAGAACUGCUGAUUAAAUAAGUACAAAUAAAAUAUGUCCAAAUUUUAUUUUUUAAUAUUUUUUUAAGAUUUUAGUUUUAAGAUGAGGUGAUUCUGUGAUCCAGGUAAUAAAAUAUAUUUGGCCUUGUGUGAACCAGAUUUGUGAGAUGGAAGGGUUAUCUCAAUGUCACAGAUUCUAUUAAUCUCGAGAUAAUGAGAGAUCCACUUAAACUGAAGUGAAAAUGAAUCUCUUGCCCUCAAGAACCCAGUGGUGAUAAUGUUUGUGAUAGAUGAUAUUCUAAUAUAUAUUCAUGCUACGUGUUAUCAUUCUACAUGGAUUUAUUGAUUUGAGACUUGUAACAUUUGUUUUAAGGAAAAUAUGCAAUUUUCUUUGAAAUUUCAUGAAAUAUUUUUAAAAUGUUUUUUUUUCAUUUGAUUUUCUUUUUCUUUUAAUAUGUUAUGUUUGUAUUAAUUUAUGGAUAUUCCAGGUGUAGGAUUAAGAAUGGAUGUAGUCUAAUGGUUAAGUAAAAUGUUAUAUAAAUAAUUGUUACUUGUCAAAUACAUACAGCAAGAAUGUUUUACGAAGCAUUGAGAACCUAAUUCACAAUGGAAACUUACAUUCAUGUUCUCUUUGGAGAUCCUCAAAAUUAUCCUCCAACAUGGGUCUCAUAUAAUACAAAAUAAUAUAAACAAACUCAUUCCACUAUAACCUGUCUCGGAUGUCCAUAGAACUUUAUUCUUAAAUUGCAUUAUUUUUGGUACUUGUGUUUCACAUUGACCCAGUGACCCUGAUUUAAUAAUGAAUGUUUUUUCACAGCGAUAUUGUUAUCAAGGAGGCAAUUUUAGAUUUUAAUUUAAUUGAUGUUGGACCUGCAGUAGGCCUUUUUAAAAACCCGCAGUUGAUGUGAAACACAGUGUUAAAAAAUACUGCCAUAUUGCAAGGAGUCUAAGGAGGAUCUGUACAUAUGCUCCAGGAUAACUUGAGAUAGAUGGGUUCUAUCUUUACCGAUGUGGUUAGUGUUGGAUUUGGUUGUUACAGUGCCUGUAGUAUUUGUUAGAGAGAUUGUGUGUUAGAGUCUGGCUGUGAAGGUGUAGACAAUCUUUGUCAAUAGAGUAUGCACAAACCCAUCUUUCCGAAGUAAGUGCAUUAACUGAUUGUAAAAGUCCAGUUUCCACCCUUGCCGAACUGGGCUGGAAUUUGGAGUUACAUUUUGGCUGGGUUAACGAGUUUAUUCAUUGUCCUAUCAAAAUUGCGGAACAAAAUUGACACUGGAUUCAUAAUCACCAUGGCAACUGCCGUGCAGAUUUCAGUCAAUUGCAGGAUUUGCCAAGCAUGUGCACUGUCAACUUGGCAUCGACAGAUGUUUUCCAAAUAUUUCCAUGUUUAAAAUCUAGGUGCUCAAGUGAUUAGAUGUACUGCGAGAGGUAAAACCUGUUUUAUCAAAAUUAAGAUGGUGAUUAUCAAUCAGAUCGUCUAGACUGGGCACCACCCUUUUGUUUCAAGCAAAUGCAAGAGAAAGGAUGGGUGAAAUCUGAUUGGUCAAUACUAGUGACAUAGAAGGGACAUAACUCGUAACUGUCAUUGGUAGCUCUACGAUCGAGCCACAAAAUUCCAGCCUAGUUCGGGAAGGGUGGAAACUGGACUUUUAUAGUCAGUUAACGCCCUUACCUCAGGAAGAUGGCACAAACCUCAGAGUGGUGAGUCAUUAGGAGACUACUAGGAAGACGAUAAUUGUUAAGACAUUCUGUAAUAUUUACAGAACACAUUGUAGACUGGUGAACAGAUGUUUCAUGUCUUUCUCUGUAUGUGAUGUGUUUUUUUUAUGCAACUCUGCAUACUGUUUCAUCUUCCAUAACUUUUUACAAAUAUUUAUUUAUUAGGACAAAAAUAUUUUACCUGAGGACACAAUAAACUAAAUAUCAGAUGUUCUCUCAUUUGAUUGGUUGAAAAGUUUCGUCAAAUGAGCAUAACAUCACUUAAUUUUGGGGUCUAAUCACCGUGUAUGUAUACAUUUAUUUAUGGAACUACUUUUCACGACAGCAUGUUCAAAUGAAAUUUUAUGUUUAUCCAUUUAGCAUUGUAUCCUGCAAAUCUUACAAAACUAAAUGUUUAUGUCAUAAGUUAUCAAAUUUUUUUGGAUAUCAUAAGUAAACAAAAAACAGAGUUCAAUUUAGGGCCUCAUCCAUGAAACGAGAAAAUAUUUAGCAAGUGUCCAGACAAGGAUACAGAAGGUAGUUACUGGAGGGCAGAAGUUAUUGAUUUGUUAGGUGUGAGGUCCUUGUUACGCUGAUAAUGAUAAUCUGAUGUACAUAACUCUGAGGUUAUCUCAAUUUAUGAAUGUAGAAUGUUCGUGUGACUUUGUGUGAAUUUGAUGAUAGAUCAAGACAUGCAACAUGUUAUAUUUUAGCAUCAUCGGACCUCCUGUACAGAAUAUAUUUUAACUCACAAAUAUUCCUACUGACUAAUUUGCAGCAAGUAGAGUCUUGUGACGAUACUCUAGCCAGUUGUGAUUUACCGACAUUCCCUUAGAACCAUCGAUUUAGGGCAAUGAGCAUUUGUGAUAUCUCGAAACAAACUUAAGUCAGAGGUUUUCCUCAAAUUUGAGACAUCUCAGCAAAAUUAAUUUCCUGAAACAGUUCAAUUUUAAAAUUAAACUCAUUAAAAAAGCUGAAAAACUUGUGAGGUGACUUUUCUUGAGGCAAGAUGGCUGCCAAUAGUAGAUGUCAUCGCCAACUACAUAUAUAACAAGAUGGCUGCCAAUAGUAGAUGUCACGCCAACUACAUAUAUUACAAGAUGGCUGCCAAUAGUAGAUGUCACGCAAACUACAUAUAUAGCAAGAUGGCUGCCAAUAGUAGAUGUCACGCCAACUACAUAUAUAACAAGAUGGCUGCCAAUAGUAGAUGUCACGCAAACUACAUAUAUAACAAGAUGGCUGCCAAUAGUAGAUGUCACGCAAACUACAUAUAUAACAAGAUGGCUGCCAAUAGUAGAUGUCACGCAAACUACAUAUAUAACAAGAUGGCUGCCAAUAGAAGAUGUCAUCGCCAACUACAUACAUAAAAAAGGUUUGAGAAAUGCGACAGGGUUAGGAGCUCGAGUUCAAUUCUCAAACUCAGUUAAACUUAAGUUUGUUUCGAGAAAUCGAGAUUUCGUCUACUGGAUGCAGGCCCUCCACUGGAGGAGAUCUGGUAGUCUUCACCAUUAAUUAAGCAUGUAGUAAUAUGUUUCCUGAUCCUCACAAUGAAGGCACUGACUCUCUGUGUUCUUGAGAAAGAGUUGAUAUACAUUUUUUAAUGUGUGAACCUGGUUUGAUCUGAUAAGUUUUGUGUGAAAAAGUCGAUAACCCCCGAACUUCCUUAAAAAAACAAAAACAGAACCGUCGACGACCUGGCCCUUUACCUUAACAAUGUAAUUCUUUAUGAAGUUGUAUGUAAACGUUGUGUUACUUUGGGGUCGACAUAAAACGUGCUUCCAUCUACGUGAGUUGAUGAAACUGGAGCCUAUAUGCUUAGUUCCUGGUGAAGUGAAUUGCCAAUUACCCUUCUGCAUGUACAGUUUAGAGGUUGUUGAAAAUGUGUAUUUUUAUUAGUUUUUAUUAUAAAGAAGAAAUAUUUUAUCCAACUAUUAUCAUGUGCUCAUCAAUUUAUGCUUAUUGAUAUCAUGGAUUUACAUUUGAUUUAAGAAUGAAUAAAAUACUGUAUAUAUUUUAAGGCUUGAAAUGUAGACUACAAAGGAUUCUCACCUCACCAAGAAUCCUCUGUCUGACACCUGUGUGCAAGGAUUCUCAUGGCAAUUAGAAUAUGGGCCCUGUUCCUCAAAGUGAUCUUGGGAGUAUGGGAGUUACGAUCGUCUUAGCGCUAAGAUCGCUUUGUGGAAUGGUGCCCUGGUCCUGUUCAAUAAAGCAAUCCUAGCGCUAUGACUUUCAGAAGUCUAUGUUAAAGUAUGGGAUUUACAAUCGUCUUAGCACUAAGAUCGCUUUGUAGAUCUUGGGGGGUUAAGCUGGAUUAGAUACAACAUCCAGGUUUGCAGAAACAAUCAAUUGUCAAUCUAUUAAAGAAGGAAAAAUGAAAAACAUUUAAAGAAAUAAAGAUACAGUCGGGCAUUUAUGAUAAAAUGAUAGCUGAUGUUUAUUCAUUUUAUUCAGACUUCGCAUUUAUUUUAUUAUUACAUCUCUACCUGUCAUAUAGUUGAAACCAGGGCAGCAUUUCUGUGUCAGAAACCUCUUUGUCACUUAGCUCCAUCAACCAAUCACAGGCAGUGUAACAUGUGGGAUAGGGCUGGGAUGAGUCCCAAUUUACUACCUGGGGACACUGUAAUGACAUCUGUGAGGUUACUGGAGUGUCAGGAUCCAGAUUAUAGGAGGUUUUACUGUAAUGACAUCUGUGAGGUUACUGGAGUGUCAGGAUCCAGAUUAGGGAGGUUUCACUGUAAUGACAUCUGUGAGGUUACUGGAGUGUCAGGAUCCAGAUUGAGAAGGUUUUACUGUAAUGACAUCUGUGAGGUUACUGGAGUGUCAGGAUCCAGAUUAAGGAGGUUUUACUGUAAUGACAUCUGUGAAGUAACUGGAGUGUCAGGAUCCAGAUUAAGGAGGUUUUACUGUAAUGACAUCUGUGAGGUUACUGGAGUGUCAGGAUCCAGAUAAGGGAGGUUUACCUGUAAUGACAUCUGUGAGGUUACUUGAGCGUUAGGAUCCAGAUUAGGGAGGUUUCACUGUAAUGACAUCUGUGAGGUUACUGGAGUGUCAGGAUCCAGAUUAAGGAGGUUUUACUGUAAUGACAUCUGUGAGGUUACUGGAGUGUCAGGAUCCAGAUUGAGGAGGUUUACCUGUAAUGACAUCUGUGAGGUUACUUGAGUGUUAGGAUCCAGAUUAGGGCGGUUUUACUGUAAUGACAUCUGUGAGGUUACUGGAGUGUCAGGAUCCAGAUUAAGGAGGUUUAACUGUAAUGACAUCUGUGAGGUUACUGGAGUGUCAGGAUCCAGAAUAGGGAGGUUUACCUGUAAUGACAUCUGUGAGGUUACUUGAGCGUUAGGAUCCAGAUUAGGGAGGUUUUACUGUAAUGACAUCUGUGAGGUUACAGAACAGCAGGGGGCGCCGCGAUUCUCUGUGCAGAGUUGCGUCCCUUGGGCAGCCAGAAACCUAUGAUUGUUGGUUCGAAUCCCGGUUCGCCCCGAUUAUGUUUCUAGGAAUGUCAGCACCAUACCCGUGCUCGUGGGUUUCACAGAAGUGGUAAACGUCUGAGACCUGCAUCACUUCGGGCUUUCCUCCCACAUGCUGACACGCCGCGAUAUAACUGGAAUACUGUUAAACCCAACUCACUCACUACAGAACAGCAGAGACCCGAUAAUGUUAUACAAAACAGUUUGUAAUAAUUACCCUGAUUAUCCUGAACAGGACGAUAGUAUUUUAUGGUCUUGUUUAAUAUUCUGUUAUUGAUCUCAAUCAUAACCCAGUGUUUACAUGUUGUUAAAUUUUGUUUUAAAAAAUCUUUUAAAUUAAAUAAGGAUUUUUUAAUACUGCAGGUACUCUACUACAUCAGUUUGAAAAUUCAAACUACAUAAGGGUUUACUUUAAAACUUAUCUAAAUAAACAUAUCCAUUUUAUGAAUUGACUGUAACAGUUAUGGCAUUUAUGGAACAUAAAAAUCAUUGUGAAUUCUGUGCAAAUCUGCAUAGUUAUUUUUAGCAUUGUAGGAAUCAAUGUUCUUGAAGAUUCUUCAACUGACGUUUGACACCAAAUUGAAAUUAGAUUCAUUCUUUCUUUGAAAUAUUGAUGUCAAAUGCCAGUGAUAGAACAUUAGGGACCAGUCAUUUAUUAUGCUGUUUUGGGAUUAGGAUAGAUUGAGAUGGCAAUAGGGGAGGAUCUUAAAAAUAUAAAUAAUUACAAUUUCAGGAAGGGUUACAUACAGAAUAAACAAAAACUAUCACAAUAUUACAAAAAGGAAGAAAAUAGUUUGCUUAGACAAAAAACAUGUCUGGUCAGGUCUUUUUAUAAGAAAUGACUAGUCCCUUACAGGAAGUCCUGUUUGUGUGUGUAUCAGGAAGUAUUCUUGUUUACCAAAGAUCAUGUGUCCAUCGAACAAAUAAAUAUAUAGUUUGCCAUGUGAAAGUAAGUGCCUGUUGUUCUUCUGUUCCUGAGAACAGAUCAUAAUGGAUAUGGCUAGCAUACAUACAUACUGGGGAACCCUGCUUAUCCAGAUGGUGUUUGGUCUGGAUUAAUAAAAUAUGAAUAACAAUUAUUUUCCCAACAGAAAUUAUUCUGGAAUGUGAUGUGUCCAGAUUAACAGGUUCCGGAUAAACAAGAUUCAUCUGUAUUCUUCAGAUUUAUUCUAAUUUUUGUUACAUAUGUAUCAUUAUAGAGAAUAUAACUGUUUUUAUAAAUAUUCUGUGUCAUAUACAAUGUAUAACUGUAGGGAUUUUCUUAAAAUAUAGAUUUAUAUUUUGUCUUUUGGGGGAAUUUUGAAAAAUUUGAAGCGAAUAUUAUUUGUUAGAACAAAUAUUAACAUGAUGAUUAUUUGUUUACAAAUUUUUUAGUUUGCUUGGGAAUAUUGAAUAAUCUGAAUCAGGAUAAAUUCCUUAUGGAUUUAUGUAACUGUGCAAUGGGACAAACCCAGGCAUUCCCCCUCCACCGCUAGCUGACACAUGGAAUACAACUCAUAUCAGGUUUCACAAAACAAUCGUGUGAAAUACGACACUCAAUUUGCAAAUGACACAUAUUUUAGUAAUAUAUUACUAAUUUAUUGACCCAGCUUAUCAGAGACAACAAGACUUGGUGCCGAAUAUGGAGUUGCCAAAAUAAUGACAAGAACAACUGUCAGGGUUGUUUUUAGGUUAAUUUUAUAAAAGAUUACAACUUACAUUAAAAAUUGUUCAAAAUGAGCAUAUUUUUAAUCAAACUUCAUUGAAUUAUUUAUUUCUUGCAUUUAGACAAGUUGAUACUAAAGAUGACAUAAUAAUUCUGAAAUAACCAAAUCUUGUGUUUCAUACAUGUACAUAGCAAGGUGUUUAUACACUACUCAAAAGAAGUUAAGAAAGACCCGAUUCUUCCAUAUGACUAGGGGUGGUCGGGUAGCCUAGUGGUUAAAGCGUUCGCUCGUCACGCCGAAGACCCGGGUUUGAUUCCCGACAUGGGUAUAAUGUGUGAAGCCCAUUUCUGGUGUCCCCCGCCGUGAUAUUGCUGGAAUAUUGCCAAAAGCGGCGUAAAACCAUACUCAUUCACUCACUCACUCCAUAUGACUAUAGUUAAUGUGUCACGGCUGGUGGGAAUUGCUACACACAGCCUUCAAACUGUGGGUGUUCCUUAACUUGUUUUGGGUGGUAUAUUUUCGUUUCUGAUAUAUUGGGUCUGAAUGUAGAGUUAUAUUGACACCUGUCAAUCAUAUUAUCACCCAAUCAUUACAAACUAUAUUAUUUUCUUUGAGAAAUGUAUCAACCAAUCAUUCAGCAUUAUAAGCACAUUGACACCUGUCUGUCAAGAAAAUCAUCCAAUCAUCUUCCACUGUUUAUCUUGAACCACUCAUUGUCUGUUUAUAAUGAUACAUGGACCAGUUAUUUUAGAUGAGUGUGUCUCCCUCACUUGUGUGUGUGUCAUGGCUGACCAUGGCAAGUGUCCUCCUAGCAAGUAAACUGUCAUAACAUG